rnacentral:rRNA from 1 species
UACGUAGGGUGCGAGCGUUGUCCGGAAUUAUUGGGCGUAAAGAGCUUGUAGGCGGUCUGUCGCGUCUGCUGUGAAAAUCCGGGGCUCAACCCCGGACUUGCAGUGGGUACGGGCAGACUAGAGUGUGGUAGGGGGAGACUGGAAUUCCUGGUGUAGCGGUGAAAUGCGCAGAUAUCAGGAGGAACACCGAUGGCGAAGGCAGGUCUCUGGGCCACUACUGACGCUGAGAAGCGAAAGCAUGGGGGAGCGAACAGG